rnacentral:rRNA from 1 species
CAGCAGUCGCCGCGGUAAUACGGAGGGUGCAAGCGUUAUCCGGAUUCACUGGGUUUAAAGGGUGCGUAGGCGGAUCUGUAAGUCAGUGGUGAAAUCUCCAGGCUUAACCUGGAAACUGCCGUUGAUACUAUAGGUCUUGAAUUUUGUGGAGGUUAGCGGAAUAUGUCAUGUAGCGGUGAAAUGCAUAGAUAUGUCUCAGAACACCAAUUGCGAAGGCAGCUUACUAAGGUAUGAUUGACGCUGAUGCACGAAAGCGUGGGGAUCAAACAGGAUUAGAUACCCGCGUAGUCCCUGUCUCUUAUAC